AGUAAUAGAGUUACAUUUCACAAAUUAUUUAACAAGGUACCAUCCUUGGGGUAUUAAACUGGCAAGUUUUGAGCUGAUCUUUCUGUAGCUGCAGCUACAGAAGCUUCUUGAAGGCCGUACUAAUCUUUUCUAAAGUUUGCCGCCGCCAUCCUCGCUGCCGCAUCCGCUGUCCUCGCUGCCGCAUCUUCAGCCUCAAGAUAAGCAGAAAUCUGAUGCGAAAGGUCGCGCCUGCCAAGCAAAAUAUCAUCGACCUUCUUAUCGCUAUCAUCGACCUUGUUAUCGAUCGAUGGAUGGCCAAUCCAGUGCUUAAGCUUGUCCACGGUACUCCAAGCACCACCGAUAACGACGAAACUCCCGCCACACAACCCAGCAUAAGUCCGCAACUUCUUAACCCGCUCACUGCCAUAAAAAGCCCUUAAUUCGCCCCAUUUUCCAUGAAAUACGCUCUUAACUUUCUCGAAAGAGCUCCGGUUGUUUGCCAUGUCUCCUUCUCCGAGUGAAUGACACACCUAAAACCCUAAGACAGUCACGAUUCUAAGUUCUCAACCCUAUAAUGUUAUUGGGCAUAUUUUUGGGCUGAGUUUUUAAUGUUAUUAUCUAAUUGCUGCUCUGCAAAUUUGAAAGGGUUCGGAUAGUUGGAUAUUAGGCAAUGGGGAAAAGAAAUUAACUAAUUUGACAUAUAUUAUUUUUCUCUUUUAAGAAUUAAUAUUCAUUUUUUCGUGAGUUUAUAGCAA